UGGCCUGCAGCUAGCUCUCUGCAACUCUCACAUGGUCGCUCACUGAAGCUAAGCAGGGCUGCUCCCAGUCAGUACCUGGAUGGGAGACCACAUGGGAAAGCUACACUCAUUGGCCAC
rnacentral:rRNA from 1 species